GCGGCUGGCCUCGCGAGCCAGUCCGGGCCAGUUGGCUUUCCUGGCAGCCGUUGAGCGCGCGAUUUGUGUUGGAACUGCCCCAACUGGGCUUCCAGGAGAGCGGGGCUUCUCUGUCAGUCAGGCGGUCCCAUGCUCGACAGUCAGAAAAUCAGCUUUCCAGUCAGCCUAAGUAGGUCAGGCAUCCAAAAGUGAGUCUUUUCCACAGCAAGUCGGGAAAGCCCUUUAUACCACUUGGGCUCUGCCAAGGAAACACACAGUUGGAAGUGUGCUGAGGACAAAGAAUAUUCUGGAGCCCUUGGAACAGAGCCAAAGAAGGAGCUGGAGAUGGA